CCUACGGGUGGCAGCAGUGGGGAAUAUUGGACAAUGGGGGGAACCCUGAUCCAGCCAUGCCGCGUGUGUGAAGAAGGCCCUCGGGUUGUAAAGCACUUUCAGUGAGGAAGAACGCCUGGUGGUUAAUACCCAUCAGGAAAGACAUCACUCACAGAAGAAGCACCGGCUAACUCCGUGCCAGCAGCCGCGGUAAUACGGAGGGUGCGAGCGUUAAUCGGAAUUACUGGGCGUAAAGCGCGCGUAGGUGGCUUGAUAAGCCGGUUGUGAAAGCCCCGGGCUCAACAUGGGAACGGCAUCCGGAACUGUCAAGCUAGAGUGCAGGAGAGGAAGGUAGAAUUCCCGGUGUAGCGGUGAAAUGCGUAGAGAUCGGGAGGAAUACCAGUGGCGAAGGCGGCCUUCUGGACUGACACUGACACUGAGGUGCGAAAGCGUGGGUAGCAAACAGGAUUAGAUACCCUAGUAGUC
rnacentral:rRNA from 1 species